rnacentral:rRNA from 1 species
GACGAACGCUGGCGGCGUGCUUAACACAUGCAAGUCGAGCGGAAAGGCCCUUCGGGGUACUCGAGCGGCGAACGGGUGAGUAACACGUGAGUAAUCUGCCCUUCACUCUGGGAUAGCCACCGGAAACAGUGAUUAAUACCGGAUACGACCAAUCCCUGCAUGGGGUGUUGGUGGAAACUUUUUUGGGUGGGGGAUGUGCUCGCGGCCUAUCAGCUUGUUGGUGGGGUAAUGGCCUACCAAGGCUUCGACGGGUAGCCGGCCUGAGAGGGUGACCGGCCACACUGGGACUGAGACACGGCCCAGACUCCUACGGGAGGCAGCAGUGGGGAAUAUUGGACAAUGGGCGGAAGCCUGAUCCAGCAACGCCGCGUGAGGGAUGACGGCCUUCGGGUUGUAAACCUCUUUCAGCAUCGACGAAGCGCAAGUGACGGUAGGUGCAGAAGAAGGACCGGCCAACUACGUGCCAGCAGCCGCCGUAAUAC